rnacentral:lncRNA from 1 species
UCUGGAGCAAAACUGCUGAGGUUUGAGGCCCCGUUUUGCUGCUCACUAGCUACAUGAUCUUGGGCAAGUUAUUUAAGCUCUCUGAGCUUCAGUUUCUUCCUCUGCAGAAUGGGGAUGAAAGUGGACUACUACCUCAUGGCAUGUUUUGAGGAUGAAAUGAGCUAAUAAACACAGUCUUCAGCCCUACAUUAGGAUGGCCUAAGGAAAACAAGAAGACUGAAUGAUAUUCCCUGGUUCUCACUCUGUCAUCCAAGCUAGAGUGCAGUGGGGUAAAACACGGCUCACUGCAGCCUCGAUCUCUUGGCUCAAGCUAUCCUCCUGCCUCAGCCUCCUGUUUAUCUGGGACCACAGCUGACUUAUAUAAGUUAUUAGUCUUCUAGAAGGAUCACAAGGAACCAGCAUCAAAGAAAUGGAAUCCAGCUAAUUCCCCCAAGAAACUGAAGUUUUCGGGACAUGACUUGUGAAAGGCAAACAUAAGCUGACAUCUUUUCACACUGAACAGCAAGAGCCAAAGUGUAUCCGAAAAGCCAUUGUCAAAACAAGGAGUGAGAACAGCUGGGGUCAAGACCUAAUGAAGGGCAUCACUCAGCCUCUUUGAGCCUCGGAUUCCUCAUUUGUAAAGUGGGCAUAAUAAUACCUCACAGGGUAGUUAUGAGGGCAAAUGAGAUAAUGGACACGAAGGCACCUGUACACUCCACGGUGCUAUCAGAAUAUUGACUAUUAGUGCUUUCAUCACGCGGCUCCAUCCAAACCCCUGCUUUCCCUCACUCCAAAAUUAUUCCUUUGCAGGUGGUGCAAAGGAUCAGCACGGGAGUUUUGACCUGCUCCGUUUCCGACCUGGGUCGGUUCACCCCUCCUUAGGCAACCUGGCGGUUCCCCGCUCCAGGGAGGUCACCCUCUUGAUGCUGAAUUUAGCACGGACACCUGAUGGGCACAGUGCACUGCAGCCCAGAGCUCCUGAGCUCAAGCCAUCCUCCUGCCUCAGCCUCCAAGUAGCCAGGACCACAGGCACGCACCCUGAGGAGGAAGAAAUACCAGGUGCGCAUGCUCCAAGAAAAAGCCAUCUGAGGACGCGGCAAGAAGGCCGCCAUCUACAAGCCAAGGAGAGGGGCCUCAGGAGAAAUCGAACCUGUCACACCUUGAUCUUGGACUUCCAGCCUUCAGAACUGUGAGAAAGUAAAUUUCUGUGUUCAAGCUACCAGGUCUGUGGGAUUUUUUAUGGCAGCCCUAGCAGACUAAGACAGGCAUCAAUGGUUCCAAUGUUUUCAUUUUUUUUCCGGUAAGCAGACCGAAGCCCAGAGAGAUGAAGCAAUUUGCCCAAAGUCACAUACCAAGUUAACUGAAGAGUUGGGGUUAGAAUCCAGCUCUUGUGACUUCUCUCUUUUCAGUUUCCCUUCCCACUCCCCCCACUGAAAAGCUUUUGAGUGACUCUUUUAGAAAUCCCGGUUCUGUAUAUGAAGCAGAAUUGAGCACAGCUGCUCUAAUGAAGGGCUCAGAGCUCCCAGGCUUUUCUCUCUCCCCUGCCCCUUUUCCCUGUUGCACCUCUGCAGUGUCCUGAGGGUUGAUGGAAUCUAGUUUGAAAGCUAUUGCUCUACCUCACUGCCUCCUGAAUGCAAUGUCACAAAUUUUCCCAACUUGCCAUUUCUCUCACACUGACAUAAAGCAUUAGAAACCUGUUGUGAAGUAGGAAAGCUAACUGGGUCAGUAGCUGAUAAGAUAAUCUGGCCUAGGGGAUAGAUGAUUAGGAUUUCAGAGAAGGAAAGGUCACCCAAUUGAUUUGACUCUGUCCUGGGGCGAUGAUAUGGUGAAGAUUUCUACAGAUGCAGCAGAAACAUCCGGAAACCAGGUGUGUCCCAGCUCUGGUCUGGGAACCAUUUCAUAAAUUGGCAAAUAUCCAGGAUAUACACAUGGCUAAUUCUGAGGUGUACUGAAGUUUCAAUAAAGCUACUUUGGUAAUGACUAGGAGAAGAAAAUCCUAUGGCUGGACUUCAUUAAUGUUGUAUGGCCAAGGACAGUGUUUCUCUAAUUAUGGCCUGUGAACCUCCCUGGAUCUCGAUCACCUGCAUAUUUGGGAAUAUGCAGGUUCCAGGGUCCCACCUGAAACUACAGAAUCAGUAUUGAGAUCCCAGGUGAUUCUCAUGUACACUCAAGUGUAAGAUUAUUAGCACCUGGACUUUGGAAGCAGCCAGAUAAAAGUUUGGAUCCUGGGUUGGCUACUUCCUAGAUGUGGCCAAGUCAUUUUACUUGCCAUGCUUUUGCUUUUCUUGUCUGUAAAGUGGACAUGAUACCUAUUUUACAGGGUGGUUUUGAGGAAUAAGGUCAGCAUUAAACAUUUAUCCUCUUUAGGGAGACAGAGAGAGGAGAUGAAAUAGAGUAGAAUUGAGAAAAGCAGUUUCUUAGACCUCCCUGUGAAGUUUUUCUUAUUUCAACAAAUAAUAAAAUAAAAAAUUCAUACACU